AUGACUGAUGUUGAGCGUGAGGCUGCCGUUAGUGUUGGAGAUGAUGAUUAUGGUGUUGCAUUGAGCAGUGGGCGCGAUGUUGGUACCAAAUUUGCUGAUGAGGAUGUUGGUGCUGCCAGCAUACUUGAUGCCAAAUCGUCUGGCAUUGGUAUUAAUGCUAAGAAUGAAAAUCUUUCUGAUUAUGAAGAUUUGCCGCCAGAAAAUUUCCCGCCUGGAGGGCUUGAUUAUGGUGAUGCAUUGCAAGAUGCCUCUAGCAUGGAGGAGGUGCCAUCUGAGGAUGCUGAUUUACUUCUGUCAAUUUCUUCCGGCCUCUUGACGCAGGAGGCGCUACUGUCGUCCCACGAUUUUCUUUCUUCAGACCCUGAAAGCGCAGCCAUAUUGGUGUCCUCACAAGAUCUUCCAUCGUCAAACCCUGAAACUGGAGGCAUAUUGGUGUCAUCACAGGAACUCCCGUCGUCAAAUGCUGAUAGUGCAGAAGGUGCUAAUGUUGUUAAGGUUGAUUUGUUUUUCUUCACUGUUACGAGGCUGCGCAUGAACCGUGCGAAACGUGACAAGCCGAUGUUUCAAAAUAGCGAAUGUGAUGCCAACGUUUGUCCCCACUGGCAUGCUCAACUCAGACAGUGCUGA
rnacentral:rRNA from 1 species